UUGAGAGUUUGAUCCUGGCUCAGAACGAACGCUGGCGGCAGGCCUAACACAUGCAAGUCGAGCGCACCUUCGGGUGAGCGGCGGACGGGUUAGUAACGCGUGGGAACGUACCCUUUUCUACGGAAUAGCCUUUGGAAACGAAGAGUAAUACCGUAUACGCCCUUUGGGGGAAAGAUUUAUCGGAGAAGGAUCGGCCCGCGUUAGAUUAGAUAGUUGGUGGGGUAACGGCCUACCAAGUCUACGAUCUAUAGCUGGUUUUAGAGGAUGAUCAGCAACACUGGGACUGAGACACGGCCCAGACUCCUACGGGAGGCAGCAGUGGGGAAUCUUAGACAAUGGGCGCAAGCCUGAUCUAGCCAUGCCGCGUGAGUGAUGAAGGCCUUAGGGUCGUAAAGCUCUUUCGCCAGAGAUGAUAAUGACAGUAUCUGGUAAAGAAACCCCGGCUAACUCCGUGCCAGCAGCCGCGGUAAUACGGAGGGGGUUAGCGUUGUUCGGAAUUACUGGGCGUAAAGCGUACGUAGGCGGAUUAGUCAGUCAGAGGUGAAAUCCCAGGGCUCAACCCUGGAACUGCCUCAUAAACUACUAGUCUAGAGUUCGAGAGAGGUGAGUAGAAUUCCGAGUGUAGAGGUGAAAUUCGUAGAUAUUCGGAGGAAUACCAGUGGCGAAGGCGGCUCACUGGCUCGAUACUGACGCUGAGGUGCGAAAGUGUGGGGAGCAAACAGGA
rnacentral:rRNA from 1 species